GGACGAACGCUGGCGGCGUGCCUAAUACAUGCAAGUCGAACGAGAGCGACCGGUGCUUGCACUGGUCAAUCUAGUGGCGAACGGGUGAGUAACACGUGGGUAACCUGCCCAUCAGAGGGGGAUAACAUCCGGAAACGGAUGCUAAAACCGCAUAGGUCUUCGAACCGCAUGGUUUGAAGAGGAAAAGAGGCGCAAGCUUCUGCUGAUGGAUGGACCCGCGGUGCAUUAGCUAGUUGGUGAGGUAACGGCUCACCAAGGCCGUGAUGCAUAGCCGACCUGAGAGGGUGAUCGGCCACAUUGGGACUGAGACACGGCCCAAACUCCUACGGGAGGCAGCAGUAGGGAAUCUUCCGCAAUGGACGCAAGUCUGACGGAGCAACGCCGCGUGAGUGAAGAAGGUUUUCGGAUCGUAAAACUCUGUUGUUAGAGAAGAACAAGUGCUAGAGUAACUGUUAGCGCCUUGACGGUAUCUAACCAGAAAGCCACGGCUAACUACGUG
rnacentral:rRNA from 1 species